rnacentral:lncRNA from 1 species
GGAGUGAGAGAGAUGAAACUGUGGGAUGAUGAGAAAGAGGGAGAGCGUACGAGAGAGAGAGAGAGGGGGAAGAGAGAGAAAACAAUUUCAUAAAUGAAAAAAAUUUUGGGAAAGUAAUCAUAAAACCACAAUUGUUUCCAUAAACCACUUCUGUCAAUGGUUUGCAUAAACCAGCAAUCACAAAACCAGCAAUUAUAGGAGGGUCCACAUGAGUCAUGCAAAAAAUUAUAAUAAGCCAUGUGUAAGAUGUGUAAGAUGAAGCAUAGGAAUAUCAUGCCAUGUGCAAGAAGGUGUAGAUGUGAACAUUGAACCCUAAAUUGAACCCUAAAAUGAAAUGAAACCCUAAAUGGCAUGGCAAGAUGUGGUUGGUCAGAAGAAACAAAUGUAAAAGAUUGAUUGGACAAGGAUUUAGGGUUUGCAUUUGGUGCUUGAAAAACCACUCAUCCUUUAGUAUAUAAAGAUAUACGAGAGGUGUGUGUCAUUUAAGCAAAUUUGAAGGGA